AUUAUAUACUUAUUAUAACUUAUAUAAUGAUAUUAUGCAUUGAUAUGCCAAACACAUAUUAAGCUUUUUACAUUGGGUUAUCUCAUUUCAUUUAAUUUUAUAACAACUUUAUGAGGUUUGGUAAGGAUUAGACAAGGCAAAUUCGAAAACAGCGGAUGCCAACAAUUACUCAUAUCAUUUUUUGUGCAUUUCACAUUCUACGAGGAAACUGCCCAAGUUAGCAUAUUAAAACAGCACUUGGAUGGAUACUGUCUUUAACUCAUAUUUAAUUCAUAUAAGAUGAAUCACUUUAUUAUGGAGUUAUAUGAUAGAGAUUGUAGGAUAUGCCAAGAUGAGUCUGCUAGGGUCUUCAAUGAUAGGACAAAAGAGUAUAUAUAAAUAGAAGUGAUACAAAAGACACCAUUAUAAGGGUAUAAAGAGGUAUCUGUUCAAUUCCGGGAUUUAACUUUAACUGAGGUUGAUUCACAAGACACCACCGAGCUGGUAAAGAGGAGAAAGGUGUUCUGGACAAUGUUGCUCAUGAUAAAAGAACUUGCGCCCUCUUCCCUCUUUUUUUUUUUUUUCUCCUAAUGCAUUUCCCCUUGUCCAGAUUAUGAUUUAGGGCUCCUUCUCCAAUUCAGAUGGAACCUGGGCUUGCGGUCUUUCUGUUGCCAGGGUGCUGACUUUCACUCUGUUUCCUGUUUGCCAUCUUACACAGACCGACCAUAGGAGGCAGCCUCUCCAUGUGGAUUCCCCAGUGCAUCUUCUAUUACUUAUCUUUGAACCCAAGCUCAUAUUUAUUCUUGCCCAAUUUUAGACAGCAUCCCUGAGACAGAGUUCAACAUUCAACAAGUGCUGGAAGAGACGGAUGAAAAAGCUGAUAGGGAAACAUAACAGAUUUUGAGUCAAAAUGGGGAAGGAAAGGGUAAGACAGGGCCAAAGUCAGUUGGUGGUCCAGGAAAACAACAGGCAAAGAGAAUCAAAAGAAAUAGCCUUGCACUCUAACUCCCAGUCUGCAUGAAUUUUUUAAAAAGGAAGCUUUACUUGAUUUUUAUCUGGAGCCUAGACACUAACUAUAAAGAAAUGUUUCCAAGAAAUGAGCAUAUUGUACGAGAAGCCUUGUGAGCCGUGUUUUUAUUUUUGCAAUAGAAUUCUCUUUGGGGUGACAAGGUUAGGAGUGGGGGAGACUCCAGCAGGCACACAAGAGGCAGCCUCUGUUCAUGCAAGUGGUGGUCUCAGCCCUCACAGAGCCCUCCCAUUGUCUAACCCCCACAACACUUGCUGGACAAGCCAAUACAUUCUUUGUUUCUUGACUUACUCUUUCAUAGUAAGAGGUUUACAUCACUCAAGUCAUCCAAACACAGUUGAUGUGAACAGUCAUUUCCAAGGAAUGAGAAGAGCACUUCAGUCCCUGGUUGAAACUGAUUGAUGGCCAAUGUGUGCAUCCUGGCAGCCCCCUUGUAUAACUGGGACUAGAGUCAGGAGGCCCCCUACAAUGGUGUGCAUUAUUUUAAGAAACCAUAAAUGUGCAUGUCCUUUGAGAUUUGUUUUCUUCUCCUUCUUCUCCUCCUCCUCUCCCCUCCUCCUCCCCUUUCUCUUCUUCCUCUUCCUCCUCCUCCUACUCUUCCUCCUCUGUGGGCACUAACAAUCUUUGAUUUUUUCACAGUCACAUUCUUUCCUAAUAAAACUCUGUGAGUCAAUAACCUAGCUAGAAGACUGAGGUAGAUCCCAAGAGUCCUUUAACAUGUUCAUCUUUCUACAUGAAAACUAACAUAUUCUUUUUGACUCCCUCAUUCAUGUAAGAAAAGCAUGACAAAUCCCAAAAUAAAGAAUUUGUCAGGAAUUAAAAGACAGCCGCAACUCUCUUAAGAAUGCUUUUUUCCCCUUCAAACAUUUGUGAGUGAAAAUUCCAGCUUUACUAGCCUGCUUUGUAAUCUGUUUUGCAUGUUUGGAGGUCAAAGUGGAGGCCAAAGGUCAGAGUUUAGGGCAGGAUUGAAGCACUGUAGGAGGCAUUACCAAGUGCUGACUUGCAUUAGAAAGUGGUUGCUUGGACAAUGUACACAAAGUAAAUAUAAAACACUUAAUAGCAGGCAUAAAACACUUAGCAUGUCUGUUACAUUGCACAUAGUGGACACUUAACUAUUGCUACUAUAAAUGAAAACCAUCUUCUUUCUCAUAGCCUAGAAUGUGGGGGAUUUGUCUGGAUUCCUUUUGUGGUGGAUAGGUGACCCUGAAGGUCUGUUCCUUCAAAAAAAAAAAAAGUUCCUUUGCUUCUUUCUCCUCCAUCUUUUCUAUCAGCUCACCAUUUUAUUCUCUCUGAACUCCACGUCCCCUUGUGCUCCACCAGAUGUCAGUCUGGCCUUGCUGGUGCCUUAAGGAGGACCAAGAGAAAGCAAAGACACACAAGCCUGCUUCCAAGAAUGAUUGAAAAGGGGAGUGUAGUCUUUGACAGGCCAUCUUUAAGAAAGGAGGCUGGAAACAGGCAUCAGUGAGACUUCUAUUCUAGGGAAGACUAAGGACCACUGCAAACUGGGGGACAUUUUUACAAAUACAUGCUUUUAUUUAGCAAACAUUCAUCAAGUGGCUCCUGUGUCGGGGUACGAUGAGGUCCUGGGUAUAUAAGUAUUCACUAAAGCAGUUUCUGUCCGCUAGAACUUGUGGAUUUGCCAGGUUACUUUUCAUUGCUGCUUCUAGUGAUUAGCACUUAAUAUUUAACACAGCAGAGGGGUCCAGCAAAGAUGAUUGUGCUAGAUGAAAUGAAAGGAAAGGAAAUGCACAUAUGAAAACCUGGAAAUUUGCUUCUUGAUUAGCAACUGUCAAGAAAGCUAGAGAAAAAGCUACUGCACCCCCAGUUUUGGAGGAAAGGAGACUCUGGGAAGGAGUCAAGUGAAAGGUAGUGAUAUUGAAAAGAGGGAAUCAGGUAGAAUCACCAUGUGUGCAGAUGUAGAGCAAGGAUGCGAUCCAGGCACCAGGUUAGAGGAAUAAGCCCAGAUCCUCACUGCUCAGGAGGGGACUGGGUAGCUCCCCAGCAGAAAGUGGGGUGCUCUCAAGGAGCAAGUUCUUAUUCUAGAUUGUUCUCUCCAUUUCUGUGCAUGUGUAAUCUCAUGCUCAAAUUGGAUGGCAGAUACCCUCCGUAGUCAGGGGCUAGGUUCCAAGCCUGGCCCCAUCACUUGGCCAAUAUGUGAUCUCCACUGACUUAAUGACCAAAGAGCUGCAGUCUUUGUAAAAUGGGAACUUUACUAAUACAUACUUCACGGAAUUGUGAGGAUUAAAUGAGAUCAUCUGUAGAAAACAUUUAGCAGAGUAGCUGACAUGUAUUUAGAGUGCAAUAAAUAUUAUAACCCCCUACCCCCCACUGUGUGUGUAUGUGUGUUUGUGUGUGUGUGUGUGUGUGUCUGUGUGUAGUGCUGGGGACUGAAUCCAGGGCCUUGAGUAUGCUAAGCAAGCAUUCUAACAUUAGGCAACAUCCUCAGUGUAAUAGUACUAAUAGUAACUAUCAUUAUCAGUUAUUUAUUUUUUGAACAUUUUUUUUAGUUGUAGAUGGACACAAUACCUUUAUUUUAUUUAUUUAUUUUUAAGUGGUGCUGAGGAUCAAACCCAGUGCCUCACAGGUACGUGGUAGGAAGUAUUCUACCACUGAGCUACAAACCCAGCCCCCAUUAUCAGUUAUUUCUAAGACUGUUUGUCUGGGGAAAAAAAUAACAAUUUUUACCAGAAAAUUUAGAGCAUCUCUUAGAGUCUAACAAAGUUUAACUUAUUCGUUACUUUGCACUUACAGAACAAGUUGGGAGUAUGUACAGUACUGGUGGGAAGAAAGCGAAACAGGUGGAUGUAGGGAAGAAAAUGAGUGGAUUUUCUUUUGCUUGUAAAGAAAGAACAUGAACUUUAAUGAAGAUAGUACCCAACCUCUUCCCAUUCCAUGUCAAUACCUAAAGCACCAGAAAGCUCUCGCAACUGAUGUAGCUCAAACUGGCUGGAGUAAAAUCUGAAAAAAACAAGGGUUCUUUGUUUAACACAACAGGCUGGUCUCAUGUUCUCAGACUCCCAUGUUCCUUACAGCUCAUCAGACUUGCUUUCCUCCCUUUGUGCUGCUAAAUAACAGAUCUAGGGGGCUCCCUACUUAAUAUUUAACUAGCCUCGGUGUCCCCAUGUCACACAGCUCGUGAGUUUUUCAGGUGUAGGUGCUAGUAUUCUGCUUCUUUACCUUUCAUAGCAGCAGAAACAUCUGGGUCUUUUAAAAUUCUGGGCUCACAGUUUUGGCUACACUCACACAUCCAUGUUCAAGUUGAGGUCACAGAGCCAACGUCCUCUCUCUCUUCCCAAGUUACCUGAGUGCUAGUCACCCGAUGUCCCAUCGAGUCAGACUGGACCUGGAAAGGUGUCACUGUCCACCUUCAUAAAGCUCCAAUUAUGAACUGACCUCUGUGGAGCCAGGCAACUCAGACUCGCAGAAAGAGUUUAAUAUUUAACUCUGAGGAAGCAAAGGACAGCUAGAGUAAGAUACGGAGUCCCCGGAGUCAAAGAGAGAGCCACAAAGACAGAAUAACCUGCCAAGGAAAAAGAGAGUUGUCAAGUUCUGGAAACUAAAGAAAGGAGACACCUGAGCCAAGUUCUUUACAAACCUUCCUUUAUUUUGCUCAGUACGUUCAUCAGACAUACACGGCAAGCAGUAGCCUGUGCUUCCGCUCUGACCACAGAAAGCUUAUGCAAACAGAAGCACAAGGAUGUGUGUUGCUCAUGUAAUUCUAGUGAAGAAUGAUGUCUCAGUUCAGGUGUGUUUACGGGGCAGUGGGGGGAAACCACCUCUAUCAUCAAGAUGAACUCUCCAAUACCCCUGGAGAGCUUUGCUAUCUGAUACAAUGACCUACAAUAGUGCAAACUUGUCGAUUGUUUUUAUUGCUUUCCUACCAGGCUGUAAAACUGCUGGGAAUCUGAUAGGGUAAGAAAUAGAUAUUGUUGUUUGUGAAACUAUUCUAUAGGAAAUUUUAAACUUUAAAGAUUAUGUUUGGUGAGUCAUUUCCACAUAUGUUUUAAUUUCAAUAGCUAGGUAUCUGAGUAAGAUAAGGAUCGAAAAGCAAAUUUAUUUUGGCUUCCUCCCAAUUUACAAUCCAAAAUUCAGAGCUAUGUUUUCUAUUAACCUGUGAAUCUCUUUAUUCCUCAGUAACUGAGAAAAAAUAGUCAAAGUGACAGAAUGAGAUACACAUUGAAGUAAAAAUAGCCUCUUCAACAAAUGAUGCUAGGAAAACUGGAAAUCCAUAUGUAGCAGAAUUAAAUUGAAUCCCUGUCUCUCACCUGCACAAAACUCAAAGUGGAUCGAGGACCCAGGAAUUAGACCAGCGCUCUGGGCCUAUGAGGAGGAAAAUAUAGGCCCAACUCUAUUACAUCAGCUUAGGAACUGACUUCCUCAACGAAACUCAUAAAGCGCAAGAAGUAAAAUCUAGAAUCAAUAAGUGGAAUAGUAUCAAACUUAAAAGCUUCUUCACAGCAAAAGAAACAAUCAAAAACAUGAAGAAAGAGCCUGCAGAAUGGGAGCAAAUCUUUGCCACCUGCACCUCAGAUGGAACAUUAAUCCCCAGGAUAUAUAAAAAACUUAACACCAAAAAAUUAAAAAAUAUAAAAAAAACCCCACAGAUAACCCAAUCAAUAAAUGGGCAAAGGAACUGAACAGGCACUUCACAGAAGAAGAAAUAUGACUGGUCAACAAAUAUAUGAAAAAAAUAUUCAACAUCUCUAGCAAUUAGAGAAAUGCAAAUUAAAACUAUACUGAGGUUCCAUCUCACUCCAGUCAGAAUGGCAAUUAUAAAGAAUACAAGUAAUUAUAAAUGUUGGCAAGGAUGUGCGGGGAAAGGUGUACUCAUACAUUGCUUGUGGGACUGCAAAUUGGUACAACCACUCUGGAAAGCAGUAUGGAGAAUCCUCAGAAAACUUGGAACAAAACCAUCAUUUGACCCAGUUAUCCCACUCCUUGGCAUAUACCUAAAGGACUUAAAGUCAGUGUGCCACAGUGACGCAGCCAUGUCAAUGUGUAUGGCUGCUCAAUUCACAACAGCCAAGCUAUGGAGUUGGUAAAUGAAACUAUGGCAUUUGGCAGUAAAUGGAUGGAACUGGAGACUAUUAUGCUACAUGAAAUAAGCCAAUCCCCAAAAAACCAAAGACCAAAUGUUCUCUGAUCUGCAGAUGCUAACACACAAUGUGUGUGUGUGUGUGGGGGGGGGGAAUAGAAAUUCAUUGGAUUAGACAAAGGGGAAGGAAGGGAAAGGACAGUGGAUGGGAAUAGAAAGGCAGUAGAAUGAAUUGGACAUAACUUUCCUAUGUUCAUAUAUGAACACACCAUCAGUGAAACUCCACAUGAUAGACAACCACAAGAAUGGGAUCCUAAUUAGAAUAAGUUAUAUUCCAUGUAUAUAUAAUGUCAAAAUACUCUCUACUAUCAUGUAUAUAUUUAAAAAGUACAAAUUAAAAAAUGUAAAAAAAAAAGUGACAGAAGGGGCCUUUUUAUGGCACUCAAUUGAAUGUAGAGUAACAGAUUAUUUGUUGGAGGUUCCCAAAUAUAUUAUACAAAGUCUCAAUAAUCCUUGCCUCAAUUGAUUCAUGGAGUUGUAGGAUACAAAGGUUGAAGACAUCCUGCAUAUGAUGAAGGCAUACAUGUAGUAAAUUAGGAUGGCAAACUUAGGUAAGUCUGUGCUUUAGUUUACGAGCUCUGCAGCACCUUAGAAACCUCAGUAUCAUUGACCACACAUACACUCAUUUGACAAACAUCAAGAAGUCUCAAAACAUGAAGAGUUAGAGAAGAUAUUAAUAUAUACCACUUUUGUAUUUUGAGUCAGUUUGGAAGCUCAUUAGUAUAACUCUAUAAAGUUGGACGUUCAUAUUUCCUACAACUCAACAAUUAUUUUCCUAAGUGGACAUCUAAGAGAAACUCCUCUAUUGUUUGGACUUGGCAUGAGAAUGUUCAAAGCAACCCCACUUAUGACAUAGCAAUGAGAAUGGCUCAAAUGCCCAUCGACAGGAAACUAAAGAAUUUGCGGCAUGAACUUUAUUGAGUUGUGAAAAAGGAAUGAAUUACUAUACACAAAAACCUGGAGAAUAAAAUACAAAUUGCAGAUUACAUAAAACUCGAUG
rnacentral:lncRNA from 1 species